AGAGUUUGAUCAUGGCUCAGAUUGAACGCUGGCGGCAGGCCUAACACAUGCAAGUCGAGCGCGAAAGGGUUUCGGCCUGAGUAGAGCGGCGAACGGGUGAGUAACGCGUGGGAAUCUGCCUGGUAAUGGGGGAUAACGUUCCGAAAGGGGCGCUAAUACCGCAUACGCCCUAAGGGGGAAAGUGGGGGAUCUUCGGACCUCACGUUAUCAGAUGAGCCCGCGUCGGAUUAGCUAGUAGGUAGGGUAAAGGCCUACCUAGGCGACGAUCCGUAACUGGUCUGAGAGGAUGAUCAGUCACACUGGAACUGAGACACGGUCCAGACUCCUACGGGAGGCAGCAGUGGGGAAUAUUGGACAAUGGGGGCAACCCUGAUCCAGCCAUGCCGCGUGUGUGGAAGAAAGCCCUCGGGUUGUAAAGCACUUUAAGUUGGGAGGAAGGCUUUAAGGUUAAUACCCUUGAAGAUUGACGUUACCAACAGAAUAAGCACCGGCUAACUCCGUGCCAGCAGCCGCGGUAAU
rnacentral:rRNA from 1 species